AGUGGAAUAGGAGAUCUCAA
rnacentral:miRNA from 1 species